rnacentral:rRNA from 1 species
UACGUAGGGGGCAAGCGUUAUCCGGAUUUACUGGGUGUAAAGGGAGCGUAGGCGGCGAUGCAAGUCAGAAGUGAAAGCCCGGGGCUCAACUCCGGGACUGCUUUUGAAACUGUGUUGCUUGAUUGCAGGAGAGGUAAGUGGAAUUCCUAGUGUAGCGGUGAAAUGCGUAGAUAUUAGGAGGAACACCAGUGGCGAAGGCGGCUUACUGGACUGUAAAUGACGCUGAGGCUCGAAAGCGUGGGGAGCAAACAGG